UACGUAGGGUGCAAGCGUUAUCCGGAAUUGUUGGGCGUAAAGAGCUCGUAGGUCGGUUUGUCGCGUCUGCUGUGAAAACUGGAGGCUCAACCUCCAGCCUGCAGUGGGUACGGGCAAACUAGAGUGGCGGUAGGGGAGAUUGGAAUUCCUGGUGUAGCGGUGGAAUGCGCAGAUAUCAGGAGGAACACCGAUGGCGAAGGCAGAUCUCUGGGCCGUAACUGACGCUGAGGAGCGAAAGCAUGGGGAGCGAACAGG
rnacentral:rRNA from 1 species